rnacentral:rRNA from 1 species
CACGUAGGGCGCAAGCGUUGUCCGGAAUUAUUGGGCGUAAAGAGCUCGUAGGUGGUUUGUUACGUCCGCUGUGAAAUCCUAGGGCUUAACCCUGGGCUUGCAGUGGAUACGGGCAGACUAGAGGUAGGUAGGGGAGAAUGGAAUUCCUGGUGUAGCGGUGAAAUGCGCAGAUAUCAGGAGGAACACCGGUGGCGAAGGCGGCUUGCCAGAACGCGCUCGACGGUGAGGGAUGAAAGCUGGGGGAGCAAACCGG